AAAAAUAAUUAGCUAAACGUGGAAGGAAAGAGAAACCAUUAUUUCAUCUUCCUCCUUCCACCGAAUCUCACCGUUGGAAGGGAGCUUUGGAGAGUUUGAAGGUUCGGCCCUUACAUGAUCAAGAUUUGAAUCAAUUAGUAGAUAAUCAAGAAAAAGGGAAAAUUGUUGAUUAGUCCCUACACUUCAACUCAUUAGCAGCUUUUACAGUUGACAUUUUGCAGAAUGUGUCUAUCGAAUCACCCCAGAACUCACACUAUCCAGCUUCAAUCUCGAUAGACUUUUAAAUCAUUCUAGACACGAUUAUGUGGCAUGUGUAUAGGUUUUGAUGUGAAUAAGUGUUUAUGUUGGAAGAUGUUGAAAUGAUACUUAUAUAAUGUUUGUUUUGAAUGUUUAUAUGAUAUGUAUAUACUUGAAUUGUAUAUGUGUUUACUUGGAGUUUUCAUGAGUUUGAACCAAGAAUGUGGCUGGUUGUGGAUGUUUAUUAUGAUGUUUAAAAUGUUUAUUAUAGUAAGCUAUGGUUGAAGCUUAUAAA